UUAGUUGUGACCACUGCAUUGCAAGGGGUUGGGCAAGACGACGUAGGAGGACGGCUAUCUAAGAGAACUGGAAAGCAGGUAAUCCGUUUUUCACUUUACUCAUCUGCCUUCACACAGGCGGAAACGGUUCCCGAACCAGAGAGAGAAGCAGAGCAGGAAGCACCAGGGAAAAAUGAAUGUCUUUGUGUUUGUGGGACACCGUUAACUUCUUAUUUCGAAAGUUGUGAGCAGCCUUGUGAAAUACACCACUGUUCUCUUGUUCCAUGUGAAGAUAUGGGAAAUUGGCAUCAAGAGGAGUGUUUAUGUCCAAAAUAUGAUGGAUUUCCUCCACUGAAGUAUGAGGCCAUUUUAAGCCAUGCUUCCUGCUCCUCCUCCUCCUCCUCAUCUUCCUCCUCCUCCUCCUGCCUACCUCAUUUAAAAUGUCUGGACCUGCAUUCGA